AGCCAGUAUCUGCUCCAAGGGCGAAGACUGUAUCUUCAUCUAGUUCAUCUUGUUCAGAGAACAGGGAUUCAACAUCAUCAUGUUCCAGGGAGAUGUGAGAGGCCUGCUGUAUGUGUUGUAACAGCUUAAUUGCCUUAUUAGGGUUUUUUGGGCAGUUCUUGGCAUAAUGACCUCGAUUGCCACAGAUAUAACACCUUUCAGACUUCUUUGUACCCGUUCUUUUCUUUCGAAAGUAUCUGACCGACUUUCUUCCUUUCUUUUGCUUGAAAGGGGGUUUGAACCCAGAGAGAUGCUUCUUGUAAUGUGCUUUCUUCUUUGGCUUGCAUUCACAGUUCUUUUCCUUGCAUUUAAUGGCAAGGUGAGACUUCUGGCAUACAUUCUUCAAAGCUUUGCUGUUGUCAAUGAUAUCUUUGAACAAUUUCUGUUGUUCGCACAUUUUGUCCAGACAGGCCAGAGUCAUUUGAUGAAUUUUCCCCAUAGUGAUAGCAUUCAUUGCUCUUCUGGUAGCAGCAAUACUUUUGUGGAGUUCUGGUUGUAAUGCUUCUGGUAAGGAGGCAAUAUAGGUAUGCCUAAGGUUGAUAUCAUUGUAACCAUUAAGCAGAUAAUAACGUUGAGUCAUGCGCUGGUAGUGUUUUUCAAUGUCUGAUCUUUUUAAAGAACAGCAGCGCAUAUCAAAGAACUCUUGUCUUAACUGCUUGCUGUAUAAGGAUGCAUCUCCCAGAAAUUCAGCAAAGAGAGCGUUGAUUGCUUGUAAGGGAGUCAGGUGGCAAAAUUGGGCUUUCUGAUAUUCUCCAAUGGAGGAAAACCAGUCUUGCAAUGUGCCAACAGUUCGAGAGAUGAAUUCUCUGAGUAUAGCAUGGGAGUCAGCACCUUCCCGGAGCAUUUGG
rnacentral:misc_RNA from 1 species